GGAGAUGUAGCUCAGUGAUAGAGCACUUACCUAGGGUGGGCAGAGCCCUGGGUUUGAUUCCCAGCACCACCA
rnacentral:tRNA from 2 species